AUCGAGUACUCAAUGAGUACUGGGUCCAAAAUCUUACUACCCAAAAUUAGAACCACUUGCAAUCGGGUCCUUAGAUGUGUACCCAGACCCGAUCCCAGUAGGACCAAUUCCAAUUUCGAAUCUAUCGGGUCCAACCGGUUCUAUCUGGGUCAUCGGAUACCGAGUUCUUGUGCUCACUCCUAGACUCUAUGGAGUACAGUAUUAGUUUAAAUUUAGGUUUCAUAUCAGAUAAAUUUUUGUCAAUCUAAAACCCUGCGUAAUCUUCUUUGUUCCAACAGGCAACAUCUAUCAUCACUCCCAAUUCCUUCUUUUCUUAUCAAAUUUCCGAUUUCGUCGUGAUGGAUGUUGACAAGAUUUGGUGCCCUUCCUGCUGUCAAUUUCAACCCAUUCGGAUCGAAGAUUUGCACAUUCCGUCAAAAAAUAAUAAUAAAAAGACAUUGAUCAUCAGAUAUUGUCUAAAAAGUUGUGAUUGGUGUGGCAAGGUAAUUGAUUCAAUUAAAAGGUCAAACAAGCCAAGUUUUGUUGAUAAUGCAGAGGAAGGCCUGAGUCAGCUGUUACCUGAAAUUUUUGUGGAGACCGAACAAACUGAAAAUGCAGUUUCACAGGAUAUGACUCCAAUUUCACUGAAGAAGAGGCUAAAUUGAACAGUCCGAGAAGAGGAGACAAGGAGUCGAGGACUAUAGUUGCGGACAACCUGUAUGUUUUGGCAAGUCCUUAGAAUGAAGACUUGAGCAAGCUGGUUAGCAGUGUGUGUUUUGUUGUUCUUGGUUAUUACAGUAUGUUUUAUUAGUCUAUAUCCCAAUUGUGGUGAUGUUUAACUCAAAUCAUUUUUUUUAGUGGUAAUGAAUUCCAAUCACUUAUAACAGUGAACGUCCACUUGCUGUUUUUUUUUAUAUCUGACGUUUGCAUUGCAAAUAUGUUAGUACUAACAGUCUACCCAAAUCAAUUGUGUUUAUCCUUAGUUGGCAUUGCUUAGGGUCUUUUCUCUAC